rnacentral:rRNA from 1 species
CGUGUAGGCGGCCAUACAGGUCAGCUGUGAAAACUCGAGGCUCAACCUCGAGACGUCGGUUGAAACCGUAUGGCUAGAGUCCGGAAGAGGAGAGUGGAAUUCCCGGUGUAGCGGUGAAAUGCGCAGAUAUCGGGAAGAACACCUAUGGCGAAGGCAGCUCUCUGGGACGGUACUGACGCUGAGACGCGAAAGCGUGGGGAGCGAACA